rnacentral:rRNA from 1 species
UACGUAGGGCGCAAGCGUUGUCCGGAAUUAUUGGGCGUAAAGGGCUCGUAGGCGGUCUGUUGCGUCAGGAGUGAAAACUCGGGGCUUAACCCCGAGCCUGCUUCUGAUACGGGCAGACUAGAGGUAUGCAGGGGAGAACGGAAUUCCUGGUGUAGCGGUGAAAUGCGUAGAUAUCGGGAGGAACACCAGCGGCGAAGGCGACUUUCUGGCUGCUAACUGACGCUGAGACGCGAAAGCUAGGGGAGCGAACGGG